AAGUCGUAACAAGGUUUCCGUAGGUGAACCUGCGGAAGGAUCAUUAAAAAAUCUGUGGCUGCAAAGCCUUUAUAUUUUGUGCAACGAACGAGUUUUUUUAACGAGUAUCGCAGAUUGGAAGACAAUUUAUUUAAUAAAUACAACUUUCAACAGUGGAUCUCUCGGCUCUU
rnacentral:misc_RNA from 1 species